ACGAGAAACCCGGGAAGGAACACACCAGGCUAGAUGGGAUCUGCACCGUGGAAAGGCAGCAGAACAAGUCACUCCUUGGCCCCCAGAAACCCCUCACCUGCCAUGACAUAGAGAUGAGAAGACCCGGGACAAGUAAAGGCUGCAUCCACAGACGUCAGGCUGAUCCCAUGAGGGCCCCCAAGUUCCUUCUCCAGCCGCUUA